CCAUCUCUUCCUCCAUAAACAAAUUCAUAAAAAAAAAAAAAAAAAAAAAGUAUAUUCUGUGUUUUAAAAGCAUGGAAGUUUUUUGUUAAAAAAAAAACAUAGAAGUUUAAUCAUUUGGUUGUAGAUUUUGGGGUUGAUUUUAUUUUUUGUGUAUCUUAUUGUUAAUCGUUAAUUCUACUUUCUCAGGAUCCCAUUGAGGAGCAUGUGUCUAUAUUAUUCGACUUCAAGGCGCUCAAAAUCAGCAAUACAAUUUUUAGUCGAGGCAAUGUUUUGUAUUUGAUAUAGAAUCAAGAUGUUAGAGUUUAUAUAUCUUAUGUUGAUUGAAUAUUACUUAAUGAAUUGAUAUAUGUCGAAAAACUAAUAUCGAUAAAUUUAUUUAGCUUUUAUCUAUAAAUUUUCUCAUUUCUUCCAAUUUAUUCCAAUUGAUAUGUCGACUUAAU
rnacentral:lncRNA from 1 species